UAUAGUUGACUUUAAUAGGUUUAAUCGUGGUUAAGGGGUUAAGAUAAAAGGAGUUGUUCGGAGAAGUGGGGACAAGGUUUAUGGGAGUAAAAUGAUCUAGGCUACUGACUAGUAAAAAUCGUGCCAGCAGCUGCGGUUAUACGGUUAGAGGGAUUAAAGGGUUAGUUUGUAGUCUGAGAGGAUAAAUGGGAGGUGAAAUUCGGUGUUUGGGGUAAGAGACGAGCGAAUUGAAGGACUAAGCAGAUUAGAUACCUGCGUAGAGUGGAUAGUUAAAGAUUGAGGAAUAUUUUAAAAGUGUGGCGGUACGUUUGAAAGGUAGGGGGACUUGAAUCGGAUAAUUAACCUGAAGAGGGGUCAUUUUGUCUUCUUGUAUGAUUGUUUAGAUUAAGGGAUGAUCUUAAGCAAAUUUCACGAGGGUUGGUUUAUAUAAAUUUUUGAGUUUUUGGGGUAGUUUAGAGCAAAGGAUUUACGAGUAGUGGAGGUGGCAUGAAUAUAUCAAAUGUGAGUACAUAUUGCCCGUCAACACCCCAAGGGUGUAAGUCGUAACACAGUGAUUCUACUUGAAAGUGGAGUUGUUCCUGA
rnacentral:rRNA from 1 species